GAGUUUGAUCGUGGCUCAGAUUGAACGCUGGCGGAAUGCUCUACACAUGCAAGUCGAGCGGCAGCGCGGGGCAACCUGGCGGCGAGCGGCGAACGGGUGAGUAAUGCAUCGGAACAUGUCCAUGUCGUGGGGGAUAGCCCGGCGAAAGCCGGAUUAAUACCGCAUACGCCCGAGAGGGGAAAGUGGGGGACCGCAAGGCCUCACGCGAUUGGGUUGGCCGAUGUCCGAUUAGCUAGUUGGCGGGGUAAACGGCCCACCAAGGCGAUGAUCGGUAGCUGGUCUGAGAGGAUGAUCAGCCACACUGGGACUGAGACACGGCCCAGACUCCUACGGGAGGCAGCAGUGGGGAAUUUUGGACAAGUGGGGGCAACCCUGAUCCAGCCAUUCCGCGUGAGUGAA
rnacentral:rRNA from 1 species